UACGUAGGGGGCGAGCGUUGUCCGGAAUUACUGGGCGUAAAGGGAGCGUAGGCGGUCGAUUAAGUUGGAUGUGAAAUACCCGGGCUUAACUUGGGGGGUGCAUCCAAUACUGGUUGACUAGAGUACAGGAGAGGAAAGCGGAAUUCCUAGUGUAGCGGUGAAAUGCAUAGAUAUUAGGAGGAACAUCGGUGGCGAAGGCGGCUUUCUGGACUGACACUGACGCUGAGGCUCGAAAGCGUGGGGAGCAAAC
rnacentral:rRNA from 1 species